AUUGAACGCUGGCGGCAUGCUUUACACAUGCAAGUCGAACGGUAACAGGCCUUCGGGUGCUGACGAGUGGCGAACGGGUGAGUAAUGCAUCGGAACGUACCCAGAGGUGGGGGAUAACGCAGCGAAAGCUGUGCUAAUACCGCAUGUGAUCUGAGGAUGAAAGCGGGGGACCGAGCAGCAAUGUUUGGCCUCGCGCCUUUGGAGCGGCCGAUGUCGGAUUAGCUAGUUGGUGGGGUAAAGGCCUACCAAGGCGACGAUCCGUAGCUGGUCUGAGAGGACGACCAGCCACACUGGGACUGAGACACGGCCCAGACUCCUACGGGAGGCAGCAGUGGGGAAUUUUGGACAAUGGGCGCAAGCCUGAUCCAGCAAUGCCGCGUGCGGGAAGAAGGCCUUCGGGUUGUAAACCGCUUUUGGCAGGAACGAAACGGUGUCCGCUAAUACCGGGCACUAAUGACGGUACCUGCAGAAUAAGCACCGGCUAACUACGUG
rnacentral:rRNA from 1 species